rnacentral:rRNA from 1 species
AUUGAACGCUGGCGGCAUGCCUAACACAUGCAAGUCGAACGGCAGCACAAUAAAGAUUUCGGUCUUUAUGGGUGGCGAGUGGCGGACGGGUGAGUAACGCGUAGGAAUCUGUCCUGGAGAGUGGGAUAACCCGAGGAAACUCGGGCUAAUACUGCAUGACAUUGAGAGAUCAAAAGCAGGGGACCGAAAGGCCUUGCGCUCUGGGGUGAGCCUACGUCGGAUUAGCUAGUUGGUGGGGUAAAGGCCUACCAAGGCGACGAUCCGUAGCUGGUCUGAGAGGAUGACCAGCCACGCUGGGACUGAGACACGGCCCAGACUCCUACGGGAGGCAGCAGUGGGGAAUCCUGGACAAUGGGGGAAACCCUGAUCCAGCGAUGCCGCGUGUGUGAAGAAGGCCUUCGGGUUGUAAAGCACUUUAGGUGGGGAAGAAAGGUAGCGAGUGAAUAACUUUCUGCUGUGACGGUACCCACAGAAUAAGCACCGGCUAACUCUGUGCCAGCAGCCGCCGUAA